GCAAAAUGAUGCAAUGCAAAAAAUUUUUUUUAAAUUAUUGCCUGUUAAAAAUCUUUUUCUUUUGAUUUUGCAGUGAGAUGAAUCUCUCAGAAUCUCAUCACUGCAUCUGUAUCUGCAGAUCAGCACUGCAGCGGAGCGAAAACUGAGACAAGACAAGCGUCAGCGCUUGAGAGAUGAAGUGGAGAAAAACACUUUCUACAUCUGCAGACAUGGAGUGACCUAAGAACAUAAAACUGCCUGAUUUGAAACUGA